AGAGGAAUCGACAUUUCCGGACGAACUACAGGAAGCGGGAGUCACUGUGUUCGAUCAAGGGGAGUGUAAAAGCGCUCACGCUCUCUCCAACUUCCCCGUUACUAAUAAACAAAUUUGCGCUGCCGACCCUGGACAGAUCGCUUGCAGCGGCGAUUCUGGGGGUCCGCUGGUAACGAAAGAAAACGGAAUUUGGCUGUUGCUCGGAGUAACGAGUUUUGGUCCAGGAGACUGCACGACAGAUGUUCCUGGCGUGUACACCCGUGUCUCUGCCUACAGCAAAUGGAUACUAAAUAAGGUUUCAUCAGGAUCUUGUUAAUGAUUCAGAAAUCCUGGCGAUGUAUCGUGACGUUUUGAAGACGAAAAUCACAACUUUGAUGCGACGUUAACCGAUUAUCAUUGCUCAGAUGAAAAUGUAUGAUAAUGCAAGAUAAACUGGAAGAUAAUUGAUAAUAAUUGGUAGGUGAUAAAUGAUUGGCAAGGGUAGAAAGGAAGCAGAAAACUAUCUAUUUGAAUACGCUGGUGUUUGCAUUCCAUCUGAAUGUACAAGUUUGUCAUUGUAAAAUUCAAUCCACUGGUUUCUAAGUGCUAGCAAAAGAGUCUUGAUCUUGGGUUGCAAGGACUUGACAAACACAUCGCAAGUCAAUUUGAAGGAGAAUAAGAAGAGGAAUAUUGAUCAUCGUUAUUUGCCGAGGUCAUAAACCCUUGUCAUCACUGUGUCAAGUUUUAGAUAAUGACCG